CAUUUGUCACCUAGUGGGAAACUGAUAGAGAGUCAAUUUGCUGUGAACAUUGGAAAGAACAGAAGACCUCUGACAGUUCCAGGUGGUUUGUUAAACUUGUUCACCCUGCCCCCUACCAAGUGGCCAACUCUGAACCCAUCGACAAGUGACCCUUGGCAGCUAAUUCCAAAUGCAUUUUGCUCUCUGUUGUACAGUAUUUCAGUGACAGAACCCAACACGUGUAUGUUUGACGAGGCUGGCGGAGGUUAAGAAGGAGCAGAGUAUUAAGUUAAGGUGGCUGAACAGCAAUGGAAAGAUGAUCCCUGGCCUUUUCUGAUCUCGGGAGGAACUGGGAAUUGAGAACUCUGUGUGGUCUUAGAAAUCACCUCCAGCUUCCCUCACAGCUGCUGCUGCUUAGGAGAAUCCCAGGGAAAGGCAGCAGUGAAAUAGUGGAUCCUCAAUCUGCAGAAGCUGACGUCAGGCUAAGAGCAAGUUACAAGAGUCACCCACUGAAACCCAGUCCCCCAAAUCUUCCAAAGAAGCAGAUGGAAUGCAGCUGAACAAAGAUACCACCAAAUGGCCAAGAACUUUAAUGAGGACCAACUGCUUUUGCAGGUUUCAUCCUGUCUUUGAUUUAGAGAAACGCUGGGGGAUGGAGUCUCUACUGAAAAAGGAACAGCAGGUCUCAGUUUUAACAACCUGAGAUCCAGUCAAGAGGACAGUGAGGCCUGGGACCCAUACUAACAUCCUUCUGGACUGGGACAAGUUGGAGAGCCCUCACGAAACCCUCUUCUUGGCAUUUAAAAUCUUGUAUCACAUUGUAUAAGUUUUUUUAAAAAAAAACAGCUGAGAAUUACCUGUAUUACUUGGAAAGGAGAAACUCCUGGUUCUAAAUUGUUUGCUUGUUUAUUUUGCCUUGUCUAUUUUCCCCCCUCUCUUCACCCAAGAAAUCCUGAAUAGGAAAUUAGAGUGAAAAUGUGGUUUUGUCCUGGAAACAGCUUAACAAAGGCAACAGUUUUAUCCCCCUCUCUGAAUUUUUAAAGUUAUGGUCCUUGAAUGUCUUUUGUCGGGAUCCCAUGACCUCCGACUGCAAGGAUCUUAUUAUCUCCUGGCACAAGGACACUUGAAUGAAUAAAGGAGGUCUCAGAAAGUGCUUUCAGGGAUGCCGUUGUCAUUGACCUCAUGGCACAGAGUCAUCCCUGCCUAGCUCCCGAUCUACACUCUGUCCUUACCACCGCAAGUAGCUAACAGCACAGCCACAGAGGCACAAACUGGACAGGCAAACACAAGGAGAAAGACCCCUUGCUAACUUAAUUUCCUGGAGCUGUAUUAGUCUGACACAGAGUUCUCACCUGGCUCUCUUGAUCUCCCUCCCAUUAAUAUUUAUGUUCCGUAGUCACAUUAUGAGACAGCUUAGAACCAUGGGCUGGCUCUACUUCUCGAAGGCAGUUCUGUCCAAUCUCCACAUAGAAGAGAGGCUGGUGCCCUGGCCCAUACUCUGGGCAGCAGCCACUGCCUUCUUGAUCCACAGAUCAAUUGCUUUGCCUAAGUAUGACACCACCCAGUCAUUGAUAUACUCCAGUAUGGCCAGCCCUGUUAAUGAUUUGGAUAAUACUGUUCCUAGGGAUGAUUCGCUGAAAACACACACAUUUUUAGACUUUAGCUUGCUUCCAGGAAAUGCCUGAGUCAUAUUUGGUCUGAGUGUUCUGAGUGUGGUUAUCAGCUGGAGUUUUAAAUCUACUCGAACAUGCAUGAUAUUUCAGGUUUCUGUACAAUAUAUGAUAUGUUCUGCAUGGUGUAUUAGAAUGCGGCGUAAAUUGCUGUCUGUGAAAUGUGAUUUCUGUCCAGUCUUGAAGUUGGGGUAGUGGUGGAGUAAUUAUACAUAUAAAAAUUGACUUCCAGUCUAUAGAACAUAAAGUACUGAGUCAGUAUGGUGAUGUUUGAAAUGCCAAUUCCUAAGACAAAGCUGAAAGGCUCUAUCUGUAACCAAUAAUGCUGCUCAGUCCCUUGCCAAGAUCCUGCUCAUUUAAAAGGGUCCUUUCUGAAGAAGUCAAGAAUAAGGAGUGAUAGGAUUUAUGGAAAUUGUGGUUGUGCUGACUUGCAUUAUGUAAAUGUGCCUGUUUUACAAUAAAACACAUUU